rnacentral:rRNA from 1 species
GACGAACGCUGGCGGCGUGCUUUACACAUGCAAGUCGAACGGUGAAGGUGGAGCUUGCUCCGCCGGAUCAGUGGCGAACGGGUGAGUAACACGUGGGCAACCUGCCCCUAACUUUGGGAUAACUACGCGAAAGAGUAGCUAAUACCGGAUAUGAAGUCUGUAGGCAUCUAUGGAUUUGGAAAGUCUUUCGGUUAGGGAAGGGCCCGCGGCCUAUCAGCUUGUUGGUGAGGUAGUGGCUCACCAAGGCGACGACGGGUAGCCGGCCUGAGAGGGCGACCGGCCACACUGGGACUGAGACACGGCCCAGACUCCUACUGGAGGCAGCAGUGGGGAAUAUUGCGCAAUGGGCGAAAGCCUGACGCAGCAACGCCGCGUGCGGGAUGAAGGCCUUCGGGUUGUAAACCGCUUUCAGCAGGGAAGAAGCGAAAGUGACGGUACCUGCAGAAGAAGCACCGGCUAACUACGUGCCAGCCGCCGCCGUAA